AUUGCGCGGCCAGCGACUUGCUCUGCGCUUGCUUAACCGCUGUCGUGCCCAGAUCCUCGGGCCUUCGGGUUUCUGAUUCUUGGUUAGUGGGGUCCAUUUGCUUGUGUAUCCUAGUUGUUACGUCACAAAAAAGCCAUAAAUGGAGCACUAUGCCUCGGUGUAGAGUUAAAGCAUUGGUUCCAUCCUCCGCUAUGCUCACUGUGACUCUAAUCAAGUCACGUAAUCUCUGAGCCUCAUUUCUGUCGUUAGCGAAAUCUAUGUCCUCAAAUGCCGGAUGUUCCUUUUCCUGCUUUAAAUGAAAUCUGGCUCUAUACUCCCCUGCAGUCCUGCAGUCUUUUUUUU
rnacentral:lncRNA from 1 species